rnacentral:tRNA from 1 species
GCCUCGAUAGCUCAGUCGGGAGAGCGUUAGACUGAAGAUAUAAAGGUCCCUGGUUCAAUCCCGGAUCGAGGCA